rnacentral:rRNA from 1 species
UAACACAUUGGUAACCUACCUUCGAGUCGGGGAUAGCUCAUCGAAAGAUGGAUUAAUACCCGAUAGUCAUGAGGGGACGCAAGUCAUUCUCAUGUAAAGAUUUAUCGCUCGAAGAGGGGCCUAUGGCUGAUUAGCUUGUUGGUGGGGUAAAGGCCCACCAAGGCUCCGAUCAGUAUCGGGCGUGAGAGCGUGACCCGACCCACUGGGACUGAGACACGGCCCAGACUCC